GACAGAGGGUGCAAGCGUUGUUCGGAAUUACUGGGCGUAAAGGGCGUGUAGGCGGUCAGGUAAGUCUGAUGUGAAAUCAUCAUCGCUUAACGAGAUGCCCGCAUCGGAAACUGCUUGACUUGAGUAUAGGAGAGGAUAACGGAAUUCCUGGUGUAGUGGUGGAAUAUGUAGAUAUCAGGAGGAACACCUGUGGCGAAGGCGGUUAUCUGGCCUAAUACUGACGCUGAGGCGCGAAAGCUAGGGGAGCAAACGGG
rnacentral:rRNA from 1 species